CUCACCCACAUAACACCCAAUUCUACCCCCUCUAUAAAACCACUACAUAAUGCAAAGGGGACUACACAAAAAAUGGACAAAAAUAGAAAAAAACGAAAAAAAAUACAAAAAUGGACCCUUUUCUCUAAAAAGUCCGCCGCUACAGUACAUGAAAGAGACGACCCCAGCCCCCUGAACUUGAUCUUCCCGAGCACCCCCCCUGAUUUUUAAUUUUUCUUCAGUAACAGGAGCCAAAAACAGAGACCGGUCGUUCCCAUUUUUGACCUCUUGGCUCUUACUGUUUUUUUGAAUCAAUUUGAUCUGCUGUUGGAAAUCAAGUUACAGAUCCAUGUGUAUUUUUAUCAAACUCAUUGUUGAAUUAGGCGAAUGAUUUGAGUGAUUUUCUAGCCGACAUUCGCUCAAUUUUUGUAACUUGAAUCUGAUUUUCGAAAGACAUUGCUUCACCUGUCUAGUUCUCGAAUUUGGUUUCAAGUGUUCCGAAAUGGAGUAGUCGAGGUGUUUGGGUUCGACUCGAGAUUUUCCGGUGCUUGGUCGGAGUUCGAGGUGCCGACGAGGUCCGCUGUUGAAUUUUGCUGCGGUUCCGGCGAGUUUCGAAGUCUGAAUCGGGGUUCCGUUCGAGAAUUCAUUUUGGUCCGGUUAACAGUGAUCAAUUCUGUUUUCGACAAGGUUUCAAUGUGAGACCACUCCUUCCCUUUCGUAUUGUACUGUUACAACGAUUAUGAAUAUGUUAUUCUGUUAUCAUUUCUAUUUCAUAAAUGUGUUGUUCUGAUGUUGUUGAAUUAUCAAAGUUUGUUUGUGUUCAAUUCUUCACAAUUUAAAUUCAAGUUGCAUAUUAAUUGACGUGAGCAGUAGAUGUUAUUUUCUUUGUAUUUCAUAUGUUGUUCCUUUAAACAAGGGUGGAUUAAAGUAAUAGUCUCUAAUUUAGAGCAAAAUUCGUUGGAUUUGAGGGAUGAAAAUAAAGUAAUGGGUCUUAGAAAGUAGGAACAUAUUUGUUAAAUUCCUUGUCUCAGUCAAAAUAUUUGUUAGUUGUUCAUGAGUUAUUACAUCUGAAAAGUUCACCGUGAUGUGUAUCAUCACUAAAUUACUACACUGCCUAAUCAUGGAAAGCUAAAGAUUUACAAUAGUAACUCUUAAAUGACCCUAAUUAAUUAGGACUUUUUCUCUUAUUAUUAAAGACAAAAUUAAAUAGAAAAUUAUAAUUUACUUUAGGAUUGACCUUUGAAUAAUAAAUAAGGCGAGCCCCGUCAAACAAAAAAUACAUAAAUUGCAGGACCCUCUUUAAAUGUCUAUACUAAAAUACUUAGAAUUCGGGACGUGCCGUUUAGUGAAUUUCACGGCCUCUCGCGAAGUUAACAAUAUGCUAGUCGCUUUAGGACCGAUCUUUAACAAUGUUACCUUCGUAAAAUCGGGUGAUCAUUUAUGAGACCCAAAUCCAAAUCUUAACGAAAUCAAAAUGUGUCAACAACCACGGGUGCAUUGAUGUGACGUGGCUGGAGACAUAUUUUCACGACCUUACAAUUCUUGUUAAAAAUAAUAAUAAAAGCAGUUUAAAAAUUAAAAAGCACAUAAGCAAGAACAUAUUCUGAAUAAGAUAAAAUUCAAAUAUGACAGUUGAGCGACCGUGCUAGAACCACGGAACCCGGGAAUGCCUAACACCUUUUUCCCGGUUAACAAAAUUCCUUACUCGGAUUUCUGGUUCGCGGACUGUUAACAGAGUCAUAGUUCCUCGGUUCGGGAUUCAACCGGUGACUUGUGAUACCAUUUAUCUCCCAAGUGGCGACUCUAAAAUCUUAAUAAUAAAUCCCGUUCCGAUUGUCCUUUAAGUGAAAAAAUUCCUUUAUGCCCUUGCGGAUGUAGUUAAAUUUCGAGAUCUCAUUUUGAAUCUGAAACUAGAGAGUAUUUUGGGGGGAAUUUUGAGGUUGAGAAAAAAUUUAAAAGAAACAACCUAAUUUUUUGAGUAUAACUGUUAUAUUUCAUUAAUAUCAAAGGAAUGUACAAUGUAAAGUUCAAUAGUAGUAGCUUGGACUAGCUGCUACUCAUUUACAGACAAUUAUCUAUACUAAGACAACUACCAAUAAGCACAAAUGCCAACUCAUUAUAGGGAUAUCUAUUAGACUAUAAUUAAGGAAAACAAUUAAGUUGCCGCAAGCCAUUUUGCCAUCGUCCACAGUUCCUGCCACAAAUAUGAAUAAGUAGAGCAACUUCUCUGCAUAUCUGCUCUUCCACAUAUACUUUCCCAUCAAANNNNNNNNNNNNUAUCUAUUAGACUAUAACUAAGGAAAACAAUUAAGUUGCCGCAAGCCAUUUUGCCAUCGUCUACAGUUCCUGCCACGAAUAUGAAUAAGUAGUGCAACUUCUCUGCAUAUCUAAUCUUCCACAUAUACUUUCCCGUCAAAUCUGAUGCUAUUCCUCUCCCUCCAGAUAAGUGCAAUAGUAUUGACAAAAACAAAGGCUGUUAUAGCAUUGUGCCACAUUCUGCUCCUUGCUUUGCUGCAAACCCAUUGCAGCUCUGUUUCCCAAUUACCAACAGUUCUGUGGUGCCCCAGCCAAUAACAGAGUCUGGACCACAGUCUUCUAGUGAUUGAGCAUUCAAAGAACAAAUGAUUAAACACUUCAACAUUCUGAUAACAGAACACACAAGUUACAGGAACUUGUAUGCCAAAUUUCUGCAAUCUGUCAACUGUAGGAAGUCUUUGCUGGGCAGCUAGCCAAACAGAGAAUUUAUGCCGAGGUUGAACAUUUGCAAUCAUCAUCAGAUUCUUCCAUUCAACCUUGUUCAAGCAGGGAAUCAUUAUGAGGUAAAUUUUCUGAAUCUGGAAUUUAUCCAGUUUGCAUACUCCUGUCAAUCUGCUAAAAAGAUCCCCAUGUAGCUUCUGAUUCUCCAUUAUAGCAGUUCUGCUUUCCAGUAUCUUCCUAACAAAUCUGGAAUUUAUCCAGUUCACUUACUCCUUUCAAUCUGCUAAAAAGAUCUCCCUGUAGCUUCUGAUUCUCCAUUAUAGCAGUUCUGCUUUCCAGUGUCUUCCUAAAAACCCAAGAAGCUGACUUAGGAUUGGUCAUUGUUACAAUAUCACCCUGUUUAAUGUAGUAACAGUGCACCCAUUUAAUCCAAAGACAGUCUUUUUUCCUGGCCAAGUCUCAUAAAAGCUUAGUAAUAGCUGCUUUAUUCCACACAGUCAUAUCUAAUAUGUUGAGUCCUCCAGCUGUAAGUGGUUUGCAGACCCUUUCUCAAGCAACUAGAGCCUUUUUAGAGAGAUUAGCAGUUCCAGUCCACAAAAAGGUUCUGCAGAUUGCUUCAAUGGCUUUCAAUACUUUUUUUUGCAGAAUGAAUACUUGAGCCCAGUAAGUCUGAAUACCAAAAAUGACAGCUUUAAUCAGUUGACAUCUCCCUGCAUAAGAGAGCAUCUUAGGUGACUAGCAUGUAAUUUUAGCUGUAAUAUUCUCUAUCAGAGGCAAGUAGUGAUGGAUGGAAGGCUUUUUAGAAUCAAGGGGUAUCCCCAAAUAUUUGAAUGGAAGCUGGCCCUCAGUGAACCCCAAUGCCUCUAUGAUUUAUUCUCUGGUACUCUGCAGCACUCCAGCCAAGUAUAUUGCACUUUUGCUAAUAUUAGCUUGUAGUCCAGAAGAUUCAGAGAAAUUAAGGAAAGCCUCCUGUAAGUCUGGAUGGAAGCAAUAUCAGCUCGACAGAACAAAAGGAGAUCAUCAGCAAAACAGACAUGAGUACAGUUAAGUUUUCUGCAUUUGGGAUGGAAAUUGAAGUCCCCAUUUUUUGCAACUGUCCCAAUAUCCUAUUCAGGUACUCCAUAGCCAGCACAAAUAGAUAAGGUGACAUAGGGUCACCCUUUCUAAUACCUCUCUUGGCAGUGAAGGGCUUUGUUAGUCCACCAUUCAAUACUAGAGAGUAAGAAAUAGAAGUUACACAAGACAUUAUCCAGUGAAUAAACUUAGCAGGGAACCCAAGGUCAAUAAGGAUACCAUUUAGUACUAGAGAGUAAGAAACAGAAGUGACACAAGCCAUUAUCCAGUGAAUAAAUUUAGCAGGGAACCCAAGGUCAAUAAGGGUCUGUUUAAGGAAACUCCAUUCCAGGGUAUCAUAAGCCUUCCUCAAAUCCAUCUUCAAGACACAUCUAGGGGAAACUCCUUUCCUUGAAUAACCUUUGAAGAUCUCAUGGCUAAGCAGAAUAUUAUCAAGAGUGCUUCUCCCUUCAAUAAAAGCUGACUGAGCUUGCCCAACUAAUUCACCAAUAACAAUUUUCAUUCUCCUAGUAAUAACUUUGGAGAUGAUUUUAUAGACAGUGGUACAACAGGCUAUAGGUCUAUAGUCUCUAACUUUUGUAGGAGCUCUAACCUUAGGAACAAGUGCAAUAGCAGUGGUAUUGAUCAUGUGAGGCAUUUUGCAUAUGGAGAAGAAGUCCUUUGUAGCAGCUAGUAUAUCUUCCUUUACUAUCUCCCAGUUUCUAGUAAAGUAUUCCACAGGAAAACCAUCCACACCUGGUGCUUUAUCCUUUGGCAUCUCUUUUAGUGCUUCUAUAAUUUCUUCCAAGGUAACCUCUUGAAUUAGCAUUCUUUGUUGUGAUAAAGUUAGACAUUGUCCUUCUUAAUAAUAACGGUGUUGACACAAGGUAGGUCAUCAGCACACUUACAUUGUCCUUCUUUAAUAACAACAGUGUUGACACAAGGCAUCUCAUCAGCACACUCCCCCAUCAAUGAUUGGAAAACCUUUAUAAACUCCUGCUCCACAGAUAAGGUAUCUGUAAGUUUCAGACCUGUAUCAGUGUAGAUAGAAGUAAUGCUAUUCUGGCAUGUUCUGAUCUUCCACUGGGCAUGGAAAUAUUUUGUAUUGGCAUCACCACAAUCAAUCCAGCAAGCCUUGGAUUUAUGUCUUAUAAUUUGUUCCUCCACACAACUCCAUUUCUCAAUUUCUUCUAAUGCUGCUUUUUCCUUAGUAAACAGAGAUUGUGCUCUGUGCUGCAACUGAGACUGAAUAAUACCCAGUGUCUCCCUAGCCUGGACAAGUUUCUGCUUGUAUGAAGCCAUAUGGACAUUUGUCUCCUUUAAGUGCUAUUUCAUGGUCUUCAAUUUAUUCCAUAUCUGUUGCAUAGGUGUUCCUUCACAUUCCUGUCCCCAGACCUGUUGUAAUAUGGUAUGAAACUGAGGGUUCUCCGUAAUAGCAAGAUAAAGUCUGAAAGGUUUAGGAUGCAGAAGUUUUUGAUUUCCAAAUUUGAUAAGAACAGGAGAGUGAUCAGAAACUGAGGGAUUCAUGAAGUCAGCUUCUAGGUGACCAUACUACUGUAUCCACUGGAAAUUGCCCAAUGCCUAAUCAAUCUUGCUAUAGACCCUAGUGGUAGUACUUUGCUUGUUAGUCCAAGUGUAAUGCCACCCUUUAACUCUAAGAGGAGUGAGUUGAAGGUCAGCAAGGACAUCUUUAGAACCUCUAACUUCAGCAUCAGUAACAGGAGAUCCAAUUCUAUCUUCAGAACAUAAGACAGAAUUAAAAUCACCACUCAACAACCAAGACUCUUGGCUGGGUACAUAUACUUUCCUUAGAUCACUCCACAGCUGGUCUCUAAGGCUUGCAAUAUUAUGAGCAUAGAUGACACUUAAAUGAGUUCUGAUUUGACUUUUAGGGUCUUCUAAGAAACACUGAAGAAGCUGGCCAGUCACACAGGAAAUUUGGAUCUGGAUGUGAGGUUUCCAGAGUAGCCAUAUCCUCCAAUUUAAAGCCUUUGAGCAGUUACAUUGAACCUUCCAUCCCUUAGCAAACUUAUCUUAAUGUGAGGUUUCCAGAGUAGCCAUAUCCUCUCAUUUACAGCCUUUGAAUAGUUGCAUUGGACCUUCCAUCCCUUUGCAAUCUUAUCUUGAAUCUCUUUGCUUUGUGUUCCUUCACUCUCGUCUCAAGACAUCCCAUAACAUCUAUUUUAUUUACAGCAAGAAAGGUUUUCAACUCUUUCUGCUUAUGGGCUUGGUUUAGCCCCCUAAUNNNNNNNNNNNNNNNNNNNNNNNNNNNNNNNNNNNNNNNNNNNNNNNNNNNNNNNNNNNNNNNNNNNNNNNNNNNNNNNNNNNNNNNNNNNNNNNNNNNNNNNNNNNNNNNNNNNNNNNNNNNNNNNNNNNNNNNNNNNNNNNNNNNNNNNNNNNNNNNNNNNNNNNNNNNNNNNNNNNNNNNNNNNNNNNNNNNNNNNNNNNUCAUUGAUUACUAUCUCAUUCCUUUCCUGAAUGUCAGGGCCUUGCUGUGCAUUCUGUUGAACAAUAGCCAUACAAGUAGUGUUAUUCCCCAGCCUCUCAUUCUCCUUGUUAUGUUCUGGUUGCACUGGCAAGCUUUCCUGUGAAUCUGUACUAGCUAGAGGCUGUUUAACAAGUCACUCUUGCUUAGUUACUUUUGCCUGCUUUUUCAAUCUGGCCCUCUGUCUCCUUGUCUUACCCUGUUUCCCCAUAUCCUGCUCUACAUCAUUGUUAGCAUUAUACCAACAAUCAAUAGAAUCAUGUCCAAAUUUCAGACAGUGAUUGCAGAAACUAGGCUUCCAAUCAUAUUAAAUCAACAGAAUCUUAGGGCCAAAUGGAGUCUCAAUCUCUAUCUGAUCAGGGAGAGGAUGGGCAGCAUCAAAGUCAUAUUCAAUUAGCUGAAUCUUCGGGCCAAAUGGAGUCUCAAUCUCUAUCUGAUCAGGGAGGGGAUGGGCAGCAUCAACCUCUACUAGUACUCGAGCAAAAGAAAUCUUCUCAUAGUGAGCUGUGAAUUUGUCUGUGUACAAUGGUUUACCCACUGCACUAGCCAUUUUACUCAAUACUUCAAUAGACCAAUAGCCCACCGGUAGUCCAGGAAAUCAAAGCCACAUAGGGAUAGUACUCGGUAUAUCAUUCUGAAAGGAGAAGUCAAUUUCCCAAGGCUUCAAUACCAUGGGUUUAUUCCUGUAUGAAUAAGGUCCAGAUUGAAUGACUAGGUCUCUGUCCUCUAUACUAUUGAAUCGGAAGAUGCAAUAGCCCUCAAAAUGAAUCAAAAUAUGGGGUUUGGAAACAAAGUUCCACACAUGCAGCACAAAAUUAUCCAUAGUUUUCUCAUUGGGAUUAUCUCCAAUUAUGUUACCAAUUAAAGCAGUAUUCCAGUAAUCCACCUGAGAAUUCAAAUCAUCUUCACUAAUUUUGACAACCUUCUUACCAUCUCUGUCAGUAGGAGGCACGAACGAGAGUGGUUUACCCAUUCGAGCAUUGCGAUUACCUCGCACAACCUCGACAGCAGUUGGAAUUGAUUUCUCAGACCCACUAGCAUCUGAGAACUGUAAGCGUCUCACAGCGUGACUAGUAGGCACUUCAAUUUUGUUCAUAGGAGGUAGUAAUCCAUUCUUAACACCGUCUGCAUGCAUCAUCUCUUUCGAUUGGAAUUUCUGGGGAAGGAAAUUACCAAACGUCAGUGGUUCUAGUUCCUUAGUAACACCAUGAGCUGGGGUAGCAAUUUGAGCAGUAGUGACAGCCACAUUUCGCCGGCGACGAGCCAUUUUCCGUGCACAAUGGCGAUCUUGCUAUCAUGAGCCAAGAGGUUUUAGUAUUUUCAUGUGCUUAAAAUUCUAUUUCUCUCCGAAACAACCUAUUUUUCCCAAACUAAAAUAAAGACUCAUUUUCCUUUUCUUUUUCAACAAACAACUUUCCAAAAAUAAAAGACUCUUUUUUCUAUUUUUUCCUUUGCUUUUUAGUAAAACAAACUAUUUAAAAUAAAAUAUUUUCCUUUUUUCCAUUUUCUAAAAAUUUCGGUAGAGUUACGACAUUAUUUGGGCAUUGUUAUUUCUAAAACUAAGAAAUUAACUCUCUGCACUGCUAUUUCUUUCUUUUUCUCAAUUUCACAAUAUUCCCGAUAUUCAAAAGCCGGUCAUUAUGCUGGCCCGAAACAAAUAAAUGCACGGAUAAUAAAUAGAUGCAUCAGGAUGAUCUUUUCAUUUCAGGUUGCUAGUCCUAGAUGGAUCCAACCUCUGUGUUGAGUUCCCUAAGUCAAAUGCAACAUGAUGCAAAUAAGAGUUCCUACUAGGGAUCCGGCAUGAAGUCACGUUAUUCUAUGUUAAAAACCUGGGUAUGUAUUCUAGACUGUGUACUCGAGCGGACAACUCGAGUCGAUGAGGAGGCAACUUACCGGGAACCAAAAGGCCAUCCGACUUCGUAACUUGUCUGGCGUCUUUCUUAUUUCAGGGUAUGACACUAACAGAAUAGGGAGUCUCAACCAGUGAGCACAUCCUCGGAGUCUCAACAUAAGGAGUUUUUCCAAUUAAAGGACAAUCGGAACGAGAUUUAUUAUUAAGAUUUCAAAGUUGCCACUUGGGAGAUUAAUGGUGUCCCAAGUCACUGGUUCAAUCCCGAACCGAGGAAAAAUAUGACUUUGUUAACAGUCCGCGAACCAGAAAUCCGAGUGCGAAAUUCUGUUAACCCCGGAAAAGGUUUUAGGCAUUCCCGGGUUCCAUGGUUCUAGCACGGUCGUUCAACUGUUGUAAUUGAUUUUAUCUGAUUUCAAGACAUGUUCUAGCUUAUAUGAUUUUUUAAAUUUAUACCGCUAUUAUUAUUAUAUUUUUAACAAGAAUUACGUCGUAAAAAUGCAUCUCGAACCACGUAAUAUCAAAUGCACCCAUGGUUGGUGAUACAUUUUGACUUCGUUGAGAUUUGGAUUUGGGUCACAUAAACGUGAACCCUACGUUAGGAAUAUAGUGUUAUCAAAGUGCACGCUUAAAUAGACUAACGCACUUUCAUCUUUGGGGAAGGCCGAAAAUUUGCUAAACGGCCCAUUCCGAAGUCUAAAUAUUUUAGUAUAACCAUUUAUCGAGGGCCCUUGAAUUUAUGUUUUCUAUUUGGGGAGGCUCGUCUCAUUUUAUUUAAGAAUAUCCUAAUGUGAACUAAUAUUUUCUAUUAAAUUGUCUCUAAAUAUAAAGAAAAGAAAUUCUAAUUAAUUAACAUAUUUGAAAGGGCCAAGUUUCAUGUAAAUCAGGUUCGAAUCACUUAGGCCUAACAAUCCAGUAAGCAAGACAAUGUAUUUUUAGCAAGUUAUCCCGAAGCAGCCUCGAUCACACAUACAAAGGGACGACACAAUUUGGGCUUGUGGUGAAGGAUCCAGGCCCAGGGGUAUGGGUAAAGGUACCACAACUGUAUAGCUGAGUAAGGCUGCCUGGGCCCUACGUUUGAGCCCAAUUCUAAAGCCAAUUUGCAACUACUCACUUAAAAAACUUAGCUUCAUAAGCAUUUAAAAACAUGAAUUCGCUACAGUUAUUGAACGAUUCAAUUUUAAGGUCAAAGUGCUACCCGGAGAGUUAUUAAUCACAAUUCACCUCAACAAUGCAAUUUACUUCUCAAGUUAACCGCAUUUUUUUUAAAUUUCUAUACCAAAGCCAUGAACGAUUACUUCUUAGAAGCUAAGCUUCAUUGCUUGCAGCGAUAAACAAACCCAGCAUUCAAUUAUGGCAUGCAAAUUGACCCACGACCUAAAUUUAUACCUAAGUACAUGUGGCCAAAACUAUACUCAUUUUUCAUUUUAAGUUUUCACCCAUUUGAACAACCAAUCACACAUGAAGACCUAGAGUUGAUUUUUAUGUUAACGCUAUUACCAAUAUCAACAGUCAGCUAGUUACCGAAUGGAAAUUCCCUGGUUUGAUGAACAAUUUAAUACAACAUGAUAAUCAAUAACAGUCUAGUUAACCUAAAGCAGUCCUAGUUAUACAGUCAAGAUCACUACAGUCCAAUUUUCAGGCAGUUCGCAUUAUACGAAUAACUAGAAUGAUAUUAAAAUAAAGCAUGAAAUUAGGACAAGGUGUGAAAUUCAUAGAUCUCUCCAAACAACACUUUGCUUCAUAUUCAGGAGCCUGAAAGUUACAAAAUAGGUACCUGGGAGUCGAACAACAAUAAGAAGAAGAGAAUGUUAGUAGCAACAGAUGCCAGACAACUGAUUGAUAUCAAGUUCACAUCCCAAUACACAACAUCAUGUUACUCCAGAUUUGAGUUUUGAAAAUACAGUAUCAUCACAAUAACUUGAAUAAACCCAAAUAUCAAACAAAUGAAUCCAGAAAUCAAUCCAGAAAGAGUUUGAGAUCCACAGGAACCAAAGAUUAAUCACAAAUCACUUGACUGCACUCAAACAGACUUGAAACUGAACUCAAAACUUCUGAAACUUCAACAGGGCAAAACUCAACUAGAAAACCAACUUAAGUUGACUCAAAAUCACUCGAAAUGAACCUCUAAACUUCAGCAACCAAGGAUUCAACUUAAACACAAACAAUCCAUGGAGAACAACUAUCAGAACUCACAAUUACUCUAUGUAACAAUAUUUUUUGGUAUUUUCUGAAGAGGUUUGUUGUUUUUUUUUGUCUUUGUUUUGUGAAGAAAGCUUAAGACUCUAAAAGAAAAUUUCAAAUUCUAGAUCUCAUUUUGAAUUUGAAACUAGAUAGUAUUUUGGGGGGAACUUUGAGGCUGAAAAUCUUGUCCCUUAAGGCAUUAAAGGCUGCUUUAUGUAGGCAAGAAUAGGGGCAAAAAGUUCUGGAACUCAUUCCCCAUCCCCCCCCCCUUUAUUUCAAAAAUUGGUCAUUAAUCCCUUACUUCCGGACUUGUUUUCCAAGUUACACCCUUAAGUUAUAAAAAUUCUGAUUUGAAACUGAUCUAGAAUGUUCUAGAGCUUCCAAUGAACUACCCCAGUUACCCUUAGCCUUGCCCAUGAACUACCCAAUUAAGCCAAUUAUACCCCAGACCCCUUUUAGCCUAGAUAAACUAACAACAAUUCUAAAAUCAACCAAACAAAUCCUAGAAUUGAAAUAAAAAGGAAAUUAAAGCUAUCAUCAAUGAAAAACCAAGUAACACAAUUGAUUAGCCAAAUAGAAUUUAAACAAAUAUUAACCUAAUUAGCUUGACAUUUAACUCUAAACAACUGGAUCCUAAAACUAACAUAGCAAUACAACAGAUCUAAAAUGAGGCCAACUAUGAAGAUUAAUCGACUAAAAUUCAAACAACAAAAAUAGCAAUUGAACCUAGAACCUUGCUACUUAAAUCAAUGAACAAACUACUAAAACAUAAUAACCACAUGGUGAAGAACAAAUAAGACCUAAAUUGAAAUUCUUAAUCAACACAAACUAACAGUAGAAUUCUAAAUAUAACAAACAACAAAAGGAAUGAACAAAAUGAAAAUGAAGAAGAAAAGCAGAAACAUGGACUCAGUGAUAUAAGUUUCGACCCACUCCAAGAAUAUUUAAUGGCUAUUGACGAGGGAUUCGUCAUGAGAGGAAUGAGGAUGCCACGAGGUAUAAACCUGAAGCCGAAUGGGUGAAUUAGGGCUCUGCCGAAAUCUUCGAUUUAAUAUUUGGAGACGCUGACGAGGAUUUGACGAACAACAGUCGUGGAUUCGAGAUGAGGGGAGUGAGGAGGUCUAGGGAUGUUAUUUUUGUUGGAUUCGGAGACGAGCGCCGCCGUGCACAGUUGUGGCGGCGCUAGGGUUUGAUCUAUUCGAUGUGUUAGGGUGAGAUUCGGAGGGAACCAAUGGUGGAUAUGGAACGGGGAGGCGAAGGAGAAGGCGUGAUGUAAAUUUGAACGCCAUUGGACGCCGGCCGCCUCCGUGAGGCGAUUUUCGACGGCAGCGUGAGGCGGAGACAGUGGGGAGGGGUUUGUACGGUGAAGAUAGAUUUUGUCCCUAUAAUUGUAUAAGGGUUAUUACAUUUUUAUGUAAUUUCUCUGAAGGAUUCUGAAUCGUUGAUCACGAGAAAUGGACAGACAGGAUUAGGGUGAGAGGAAACGACGUCGUUUGGGCGUUUAAUGAGACAGACUGGGUUGUUGACUGUUUGGGCCUAGGCGGGUUAUUUUGGGUUAAGCAAGGUUUAUUGCAGACGACCCAAUUAAUGUUUUUUCCUUCUUUGUUUUCUUUUUUCUCCUUUUCUUAUUUAGUAAUGUAUUUUAAUUUGUAUUUUUGUAUUUUUUUUAUUUUUUAGAAAAUGCAAAAUUAAGAUAAAGACCUAAUUUCUUUCCAACACUAAGCUAAUUAAUUCCUAAAAAUUGAUUAAGUCCUUUUUAAAGUAAACUCAAGACAAGUUCAACAAUUAACAAUUGAAAAUGCAAAAAUAGACUAUUUUUAUUAUUUUCUUUAUAUUUUAUUCUAAAAAUAACUUAACCACUAAUUAAUCCUAAUAUAUGAAACUAAAUACUAAAUACAAAUAUAAAGCAUAUUUUAUAUAUGAAUUAAAAUGCUAAAAAUUAACAGAAAAUAACACAAAAUUCAAAAAAUUACAAAAUAAUGAAAGAAGUCAUUUUGUUUGUAUUUUUGAGAAUAAUUCAUAUAUACGGCAAAAAUAACGUGUUCAUAGCUGCCCCUCUUUGCUCGAAAACAUGAAAAGUUUUCGUGCAAAGAUAAGUGAGCAAAUAUUAGCGAUUUUUGCCCUGUUUGAAGAUUCCGUAUUAAGCAUUUUUGAAAGAGUUGACUGCACCCUGCUUCGGAGGUUGCCUACAUAUCCUGGCUUUAACAGGAAUCAGGUCAGUGUAGUUCAGGAAUGUGUGGUACCUGGGACUACCAGGAGCUGUGAUUUCAUUGUGAUUACUGCUGCUACUACUUGCUGACCUCCCUUAUUACACCAUCAAAAUAGAAAGAAGCUAGCCUAAGCUAUGAACUAUGAAUUAUAAAAACCAUAUCUAAAUUCUUCAAACUUGCUUUUGUACUUCUUGUUCCCUUAUUGUCUUGUGUUUUCUUGUUGCCUUGUUGUCUUGUGUUUUCUUGUUGCCUUGUUGUCUCGUGUUCUCCUGGUGAAAUUCAUUGUAAUCACUUUGAAUUGUAAACUGAGAUGUUAUAACUUUCUUCAAACCGGUGAACUUGAAUUUUUCCUCUACUAUACAAGCGGGCUCCCGAUUUCAAAACUUGAACUGUAUUCCUCUGUUCUCCAGGUGGGCUCCUGACUUCACAAAAUAAACAAAACAAAGAAAACUUUAUGCCCCAGUUUGGAAAACUUGGUACAUUUAAUCCACUAUUUCACUUUCCCUCAUUGGGGGGUCGACUCUCGCAGCCUGAUCUCUCCAGCGGAACCCAUACUCCUUGAAACUUUCCCCAGGCUUCUUCUCAAGUUUUAUCAGUGACAUGCGGUCUGGAGCAAUUUCUAGAUUGUACUAAAAAUGGCAAGCGAACGCUUGUGCCAUGUCAUCCCAAGUAUACCACCUAUCGUGGUCCUGACGUGUAUACCACUCCAAAGCAAAUCCACUCAGACUCUGGCUGAAGUACACCAUCAGUAAUUCAUCUUUCCCACGGCACCUCUCAUUUUUGUACAGAAACCUCACAAGUAUGCCACUAGAUCGCCAUGACCAUCAUACAGUUCAAACUUUGGCAUUUUAAACCCCGCAGGCAGCGAAGUACUGGUUUUGUUGUGUCCAAGAACAAUGGCCAAAUACAGACUGAGCUUAGUGUCUCACCACUCCCAGGGAGUGACCAAACCACUACUCAGUUGUGAUGACCCGAAAGGUCAUCACUCGUAUAGAAAAAAAAACUCUGUAUUUUGAGGCCUUAAAAACCUUUUUUCCCAUACCUCAAUUUACAUACUGAGUCCAGCCGCAUUUUCAAAAAGCUUUUAUGUGAAAACUAAGUGAAAUAAGGAAUUUGGCCUUUUAAAUUGAAUAAAACUGAAUUAGGUCAACAUUCUUGGUAAAAGGAUCCGAAACUGUGAUCCUACGUCCCUUAGGGUCUGUAGUAAAAUUUGGGACUUGGGCAUAUGCCCGAAAUCGAAUUACGAGGUCCCAAGCCCGAGAAAUAAAUAUUUUAAGAAAAUUAUUUUCCGAAAAAUAUAAAGGUUUUUAGAAGAGAAUUGAUGCAUUUUCUUGAUGGUAUCUGGCCCGUAUCUUGGUUCCGGAGCCCGGUACAAGUUUGAAAUAAUAAUUAAGAUAAAUCUGUAAAAUUUGGUAAAGAUCGGAGUUGGUUUUGUAUAAAACAGACCUAAAUUUCAGAAAUUGGAAAAUUUGAUAUUCUUGAACGAUUUCAUGAAUUUGGGUUUUAAUUCAUAGUUGUUGAUGUUAUUUUGAUGAUUUGAUUACAAGAGCAAGUCCGUAUGAUAUUUUUAGGUUAGUGUGCAUGUUUGGUUUGGAGCCCCGAGGGCUCAGGUGAGUAUUGGACAGGCCACGAAGUAAAAUUUGACUUAGAAAAUUGCUUGCGUAUUGCUGGCCUGCGGGCUUCACAAUUGCGAAGCCUAUAUAGCAAAUGUGACGAUGGCCUGGGCAGGCCUUGGCCGCAAAUGCGAACAUUUCAUUGCAAAUACGAAAAGGCCAGAUACGCAAAUGCGACUUAUUCUUCAUAAAUGCGAAGAUUAUAGGUCCUGAAGGGGUUCAGAAUUGCGAACCAUGAUCGCAAUUGCGACAUCAGAGACCAGUUAAUUCGGUCACAUUUUCAUCCAUUAUUCAAACCUUCUCAAAACCUAAACACCUUUGAGUGAUUUUUCAAAGACAAAUUCUCCUCCAAAUCGAUUGUAAAUCAUUUCUUACUCAAUUUCUUUAAUUUAUAUAAUCUUUUCACAUGAUUUCAACUCAAAUCAAGGGUUUUCAUGGAGAAAUUUGGGUGUAUUGGGUAGAACUUAGAUUUUUUAAAUUUUGGGGAUUUGGACCUUGAUUUGGGGUCCGGUUUUAAAAUAAAUUAUAUAUUUGAAUUCGUGGGGGAAUGAGUAAUCGGGUUUUGGUUCGGACCUUGGGUUUUCACCAUAUGGGCCCGGGGUCGAUUUAUUACUUUUUGUAAUAUCUUUAUGAAACUUAUAUUCAUGCACUAGAAAUGAUUUGUUUAGCAAUUAUUAAUAUCGUUAAGUAAAUUGUGGCUCGAUACAACUGAAUUGGUGGUGGAAACAAGAGGUAAAGCGAUAGUUGAGUCUCGAAUUGUAUUCGUGGCUUUGAGUUAAGUGUUUGGUCUAACCUUAGCUUAAGGGAUUAGGAGUUGUAUCUUAUUUGCUAUGUGUUAAUUGUUGAGUACGACGUAUAUGCAUGGUUACAGAGUAUCUAUGCGUUGGUGUCAAGCAUGCUCGUGAGUCUUAUACUAUGACUAAUGUGACUCUAUUUCGUAUUGUUCAUGCUUUAUAUGAUGAGUUCUAUUGUUGAAUAAGUCUUGUGGAAGUAUUGUUGGUAAUUAAUCAUUGUAGAGCAUUGGCUCAAGUUGUAAAAUGAUUUAUAGAAGUAUUAUUGGUAAUUGAACAUUGAAGAGCAUUGGCUCAAGCUGUAAAAUGAUUUUUGAAAGUAUUAUUGGUAAUUGAACAUUGUAGAGCAUUGUCUUAUGUUGUUAAUCGAGUUGAGAGGUAAAUGUGAAAAAGAGGAGAGGUUUAUGAGAUUGUCUCCCUUGAUGGGAUGUUAUUGUUUUUGGUAUUGUUUCCCUUGCCGGGAUGUUGUUAUUCAUGAUAUUGUUUUCCCUUGCCAGAAUAUUUUUGUUAAGCUAUUGUUCCCUUGCCAGGAUUUUAUUGAAAUAUUAUUGAUUCCCUUGCCCAAAUUGCUUUGUGAUUGUUGCUUGGGUGAGGAAGAGUGUAAAGCACAAAGGGUGAUGCGGUGUAUGAUUUUUGAGAGUAUUAAUGCACGACGGGUGAUGCCGUGCCUAUAUUGUGAGUUUAAAGCAUGAAGGGUGAUGCCGUGCUAUACGAUGUACAAUUGCAUGCCAUGGUAUGAGUGAUAAUGCACAAAUGAUCAUUCCGUGCCAUGAUUAUGUGAGGUAAAGAACGAAGGGUUAUGCCGUGCUGAUUUUAUUAAUUUUAUGGUGAGGACGAUAGUAUAAGUACGAAGAGUGAUGCUGUGCACUUGUCUUUUAUGUCUGAUUCUUGUUGUUAAUUGAACUUUGGUAUUCCUUAUGUUUAUCUGAUGUUCUUCUGUUAUUACUUGAUGUUCCCUGCAGUAUGUUUUCCCCUUCCUAUCCUUAACUGUACAUUUUUGCCUUUAUUUUCUGCUAUAUAUAAUUUAACUGCACAUGUUUAUUUGGUAGUCUGUACCUAUCCUCGUCAAUAUUUUUCCGAGGUUAGGCUAGGCAAUUACCAGCACAUGAGAUCAGUUGUGCUGAUACUACAUUCUGAACUGUGUGCAGAUUCCGAUGCUGUAACUUUUG
rnacentral:lncRNA from 1 species